UUUAGGAUAUCUGGUCGGCACAGAUGAGUUGGGCUGAAGGGUCUGUUUCCAUGCUGUAUAACUCUAUGACUAUCCACUUCAUUUUGAAAUCUUUUACUGCCACUUGCAUCACCCUGUUAGAGUUCAGAGAGUUCCAGGCCUUGACACAGCCUUCCUCACACCUCCUGUGUGUUUUAAAUUAAGAACACAGGUGUGAGAAGGGAAGGAUCUGCGGACAGAAACCUCAGAACAAAUGCCAUAACAAGAUCUGACAGGGUCACUUAAUAUCAUUGGAUGUUUGAAUCUGGAAGUAGAAAUCCAUUCGACCUGCUUCAAAAGGACAACAGAAAAGAAGAAUUUGGAAGCAGAAAUCUCAAACCAAGCUUCAUGUCAGUAUCUGGCGGUCAGUUGAUUCACCCAAACUGUGAAUAUAGACAGCUUUGAAAACGAGGAGGAGAAGCGAGGUCUGUCUGUUCUGUCUGCUUCGUUAAGUUUGAAACAUCAGUGUGACUGGAAAAUCUUUGAGAGCCACACACUGAGUGAGAGUAUCCCAGAAUAGUGACAGUGGAGCAAGCUUUAACCUAUUUCACAGACCGAGUAAGAAUGUUCCAAUUAUCAGAGGCUUAACUAGUAACACAGACUGAAGAAACAAAUCACACCAUACAGGUGCUGUAAGGGUGGGCGAACUUUCUACUGACACAUUGCACCUGCAGAGAGACAAGGACUCCCACACUAGGGAGAAACUGUGGAAAUGCGGGCAGUGUGGGAACGGUUUCUCUUCCGCAUCUGCGCUGGAGAUUCAUCAGCGUUUCCACACUGGGGAGAGGCUGUUCACCUGCCCACAGUGCAGGAAAGACUUCAUUAGGUCACAUCACCUCCUGAUCCAGCAGCAGGUUCACAUCCAUGUGCGGCAAUGGCUUCUACGAUUUAUCCACCCUGCACAAACACGAGCGAGCCAACACCAGGGAGCGGCCGUUCACCUGCUCUGAUGCGAGAAAAAGUUUACCCAGUUCUCCAACCUGCAGUCACGUUAGCGGGUCCACACCGGAGAAAGGCCGUUUACCUGCUCCGUAUGCGGGAAGGGCUUUGAUCAGAUUCCAGUCUGGUGAAACACCAGGAAAUUCGCCAGUGAUCACUUGAGGAUGGAGUCUGCUGUUCUUGCUGCUGGGAAACACAUUCGGGACUGAACCGUGGGUGAACUGGGAAGAACAAGGAGUUACUUUCUGCCAAACUGGUCGCUCUCAUCCACUCUGUUUCCAGUUUUGAGCAUGGGACUGCACCUUCCCUCUGAGACGAUCCACAGGAUCUGCUGAAGGAACUUUUCAUUUCAUCCUGGAUAUUAACUAGUGUUUAUCCGACCACUACAGGUAGAUCUAAAACAGACACAUUUCUGCCUGUGCCAUUGAGUCUCCAGCACAACAACGCCUCCUCUUCCUCAGGCAGAUCAGGAAAUUUAGCAUUUCCCCCAGCAUCUGCAGUCCUCAGUAUCUCUUAUGUCCAUAAGGACCCUCACGAACUCCUACAGAUGCAUCACAGAAAGCAGACUGUCCGGAUGCAUCGCAGCCUGGUAUGGCAACUGUUCUCCCCAGGAUAUUAAGAAACUACAGAUGCCAACCUCCCAUCCAUAGACUCCAUUUCCACUUCACAGCUGUGGAAAGGCUGUCAACAUCAUCAAAGACCCCUCCCACCCUGAUAAUGAUCUCCUCCAACCUCUUUCAUCUGGCAGAAGGUACAAAAGCUUGAAUACGUGCACCAAAAGCAUGUUCCCUGCCAUUAUUAGACUGAUGCAUGAACUCUAACUUCAAACAAUGCUGAUCUUGUCUAGCGCACAUCCUUGUGUAACCUGUUUGCCUUAAUCUGUGCAAGUUUUUUUUUCAGCCUAUGAUCUGUAUGUCCUUACUUACUAUGAUCUGGCUGUACUGCUCGCAAAGUUUUUCACUGUACUUCGGUACACGUGAUAAUAAAUCAAAACAAUCAAUCAA